UUGCUGUAGGCGAUUUUCCCGGUACCGGAAGAGAUAUUUUCAUACAAACACGCGGGAGUUGAAACAAAUUGAAAGUUGGUACUUGUUUCCUUAAAAAUAUUUGGAGGUGUCUGUCUGUCCGUUUAUCGGAUUUGUAGGUAACAUGUUCACACCACGUCCAACUGGUACCCGUGCUAGAGCGUCGCCGUUCACACCAGGAUCACAACGUGCCUCUCAAACUAAACGCUCAUCGGGGGUGUUUACCCCGCAGAGCCGUCGACUAUCUUCGUUAAGAAGCCACACCCCUUCAAAAUCCAACCGAUCUCUGCAGACAUCACAGAUAGUUGAUGAUGUCAGCUCACAACACCGUGUUGAGAGUUUUGGCGUACCUCUUCCUGUUCUGAUCACAGAAGCUCUUACCCUGGCCGACAGAAACACAGAGAUCACAGUUAACGUAGACCCGUCAGGCUGGGCGUGGCUGGUUGGGGGACGCAAGCUGUUUGUGUGGAGAUACAAGCAACAGCCGGGGACUAGAGGUGUACUGUGUAAAGAGCUGACCUUGCCACCCAGUGACCUUGCCCACAGUGCGGAGAGGGUGUGUGUCAUCCCCAGCGACAACCAGCCUGCAGCAUGUGUGGCCGUAUCCCCAGAGGGGGUGGUCCGGUACUGGCCCAACAUUGCAUACGAGUCCUCAACAGGCGAGGUCAGCGCUGAACUGAAGGGGGAAGAAUGUGCAUGUGUCAUCAACUUUCAGCCGUUCGGAUGUCUCCUGGCCACUACCACCAGCUCUCUCAUAUUGCUGACCACCACCCCUGGUCAGAACACCAUCAUGUGCCAGCCUCUGAAGGCGGCCCAGGGCAUGUUUGCUGGCAUCGGGCGCAGGAUGUCGUCUUUCAUAUUUGGAGCUUCUCCCAUGCAGACAAUGGGUGCUCCUUUCCAAGCUAUUGUCCCUGGUGAUGAAGAUGAGGAGGAGAUGAGUCGACCGUUCUUCGUCUUGUCAGGAACACACGUACAGAAGUGGGAGAUCUCCAACUCGGGCCCAGAGAAGCUUCUCUACCAAGUUGACGUGGACAGACUGUUCAGAGAGACGCUGGCACGCAGAACCUGGGACCUGGACUCGGUACAGAUGCCCCAACUCCGAUCCUGGCUCAUAGACAUGAAAACCACAGUUGAUGGGGUGAUGCUGCUGGGAGCGGGGGUCAACCUAGAGACCGACAGUGUUGUCCACUAUGCCCUUGCAACACUUUCAACAGAAGACGAGGAGCCCCCAACAGCACUGGAUGACUUCAUGUCACUGGAACACACUGAGAGAUAUGAGGAGGACACGGAGAUGGAUCUGCUCGACCUCCAUCUGCUUGUUCCUGACUCUACAGCCUAUGUGUAUGAUAAGAAGGUCAUCUUUGCCAAACAAGGGGUUUCCAUGAGCGACAGGCUGGAGCUGCAGUCUACUGGAGAUCAGAUUCUUGGAGCAGGCCGCUAUGGUGAGACAGCUGUAUUCUUCUCCAGCACCCAUGGCCUCUUCUGUCUAUCUUCGGCCGCCAAGUUGGAACAAAGUAUCCUGGAGGAAUCAGCACAAGAGGCUCUCUCCAGAUCUGAAGUUUCCACGUUAGCAACCAGCCGACCACAAGUUGCCGAGAUGGGAGCCAGUGAUGACAAGUCAGCCCGACUCAAGGCAGCAUUUAUCAACUCUCUCAAUGGCAACUUGCCUGAAGCUCAGAAGAUCGUCAGUGACCUGUUCCCUUUAACGGAUGCUGAGGAGGAAGCCACAUCUGAGAUGGAUAAGCUGGUGACAAUGUUGAGUCGCGACCUCAUCGAUGACUACCCGACAUCUGACCCCCGGUGGGCGGAGAGCUUGAGAAAUGACUCUGCAGGCAGCACGACAUCCCUGAUCAUCUUGCAGCAGCUGAAGGACAAGGAGAAGGCUCACGAAUACCUCAUCAGCUUCCUGAAACGCCUGGAACUGUGGGACAGGUUGAAGGCAGUGUCUGUUCGCGACACGAUGAUGUCCACCCAACUGUUGCUGUGUGAACAUGCAGAGAAGGUUGCAGCUGCUGUUGGACUGAGAGAACUGCACAGCGACCAAAGUGCAAUUGUAGACAACUGUAUCCGACGAGUGCUGGAGUCCAUGCGAGAUUCCAACAUCCCUGCCGGCCUAUCCCCAGCAGACGUCUUCUACAGAGAGGUAUCAAGGGUCCCAGAAAUAGUCUCGGCAUUGUUGGAAUAUGAAGACGAGAGCCUGUCUUCGGACCUGUCUCCGAAACAGUGUGUGAUGAUUGUGUCCUCAGUCAAUGGAAUACUGGAGGGUCUGCUUCACAGUGGCCUGCAGUACCGCCAGUCCCGGGCCGGGGUGUUCCAAGGGGGUGCAGACAGACAGCUGGAGUACAUACCCUGGACGUCAGCAGGUGGCAGUCGCGGCAUCCGCACCAUGCUCACCAGACAGUACAUGCUGACGAUAGAGAGUGCAGUGCCGGAGGCGCGCGACAUCGAGACGCAGGGUGUGUUGUUCCAGCAGCUGCUGGGGCUGGCGGACGUCCUCCUGGACGGCUACAAGAGUCAGCUGGUGUCGCUGCAGCAGUGUCCCCGCAGACAGGACCAGUACAACCAGCUGCAUCGCAAAUAUGAACAGGAGCGAGACAAACUCAUCUCCCCACUCAUGGACCAUGAACAGUACGAGAGAGCUGCCACUCUGGCUGAAAAAUACUUCGAUUUUGAAAAUUUGGUAAAGAUUUGUGAACUUACGAAGAAUGAGGAGAGGCUUCAGCGUUACACACAGCAGUUUGCAGACAAAGGUUUCUCCAACUUCCUCUUCCACUGGUACAUGAAGGAAGGCAAGCGUGGCCGCCUCCUGUCCCAGCCUAUCGGCACCGACUCCGACCUCAGUCAGUUCCUUAACUCUGACAACACCAGGUACCUUAGCUGGCUGCACGACAUCGGCACCAACAACUUUGAUAAGGCGCACGAAACAUUGUUUGAUUUGGCUCAAGGAGAAACAGCUUUCCUAGCAAAGAAGAAGACUCUGCUAAGCCUGAGCAAGCUGGCCGCCCUGGCAGCUGAUGACCCCGAGUCCUUGGAGGAGAAUGUAGAAGGCAUCAACGAUGAGCUUACCCUGAUCCUGCACCAGGAGCAGCUCCCGGAGGAGGUCCUGGAGACGCUGGGGAUGGACCCCGCCAACAUGGGUGUGAUGUCCACCACGGAACUCAUUGAGCUGUAUGUGGGGGACAAGAACAAGAUGGCAUCGGAGUAUGACUUCAAGAAGGCCCUGGACCUCUUACAGUACCUCGACAAGGCUGAAGGAGGUGCUGACCUCAAUGAUCUCAAGCUACACAUCUGGUGCCGAGCCAUUUUAAGAGACAACUGGACCAACCCUGCAGACGGUGACCCACUGGAUGUCAUCCGGGAAACAGUGUUCUUCAAGACCAUCGAUCUAGCAUACACAGAAGGAGGAGACCUGGAGGAUGUGCUGCCAUGCCAGGAGGCGAUCCUGUCCAGCGAGGAGCUCGGAGCCUGCAGACACAACUCCAACUUCCAAUACCUCAUCAAAGCAGGCUAUGAACACAUGAAGAACAUCAUGGCCUAGAGCCGACCGGUCUCCCCACGAUGUCAGACAAUGACAAUGACAUGGUCCACCAACAAACAAUGUCUUUGGUUUAUCCAGUGCUCUCCUUUGUGAACAUUGUGAUGAUCUGACAUGAACAUGUUGAUAUCAUUGCCAAGAGAACUGUUGUUUUUAAUCAAGCAUGUGUCAAGGCCAGAAUACAGAAACAUUAUCGAACUAGUUGACAGACAAGCUGUGCAGGGAUGACUGAGAGGCAUCAGGAGAUUCCCAUCUAAGUUCAACCUAACACAGUGGAUGUCCUUGUCUUUCUUACAUUACAUGAAAUGAGUGAAGUGCUUCUCGAACCCCCGCCCAGUCUGUACCUGCAGGAGUCUGGGCCAACCAAUCACUGUAUACAGUGUGCUGUGGGGGAGAACUGAAGGAGCCUGGGCCAACCAAUCACUGUAUACAGUGUGCUGUGGGGGAGAACUGAAUGAGUCCAGCAUGAGGAAUGGUCCUGUGCUGGAGUUCAGUUUGCCUUCAGAGGAUGUGAAUCAGCAGCUGCAGUGUUGUCAUUGUAUUUCUCACUAACAGAAACAAAGUGCUUCUGUCUUGUAUAUAUUGUAUCAUGUUUCAGAAAUCAAUACAAUUUUCACCAAAGAAAA
rnacentral:misc_RNA from 1 species